rnacentral:lncRNA from 1 species
AACACAACAAUAAAUUAAUAUUCUGUCAUUUUAAUUUUUAAAUGUGUCGGACAAUGUAUGAAUUUGAAUUUAAUCUAUUGAAGUUAUAAAAUCAAACUUUGAUAACUAAACUAACUUCACUAACAACUCAUUUAGUUGCUUCAAAUGCAAGUAAUUAAAAAUAAUAAUUUUUUUUUUUUAAUCUUAUAAGGAUUGUAUAGAAGAAAUUAAGUUAGUAUAUACUUACACAAUGAGUUGAGGGUUCCAGAGGAUGGAAUAGGUGUGAAAAUCUGCAGUAGGGUCAAACCAAAGAUGAAAUUGUUGCUCCCUAUUACCCUUUCCUUGGCUAAACACAUUUGUGUGAAGUGUGUAUGGCUGUCCACUCAAAUUUCCCAAGAAUUCAAAGUCAAUCUCAUCCCAGGCACCUCCUUUUGAUGAUAACUGAAUUUGAUAGAGCAUACAAAAUCCUCAUCAGUAAAAAAAAAAAAAAACUGUUAUAAGGUUGUAAAUAUAUGAAAGUAAAAUAUGAAGUGGUAGGUAGCUUACAUAAUAGGCAGUGACAGUACCAGCAGAGUUGCCAGAAACAAGUUUAAGUUGCAUAUCGAUUUUACCAAAAAGAUAUUGAUUUUUGGAUUGAAAGCCAGAGCCAGAGGCUUUGUCGAGAGAGAGAGUAAGAAGUUGGUCAUUGUUGAGUAUUUUGGCACGAGCAUCUCCCCAUGUAAUUUGAAAGUGUUGGUUGAAGUUAGAAGAAGAAGAAGAAGAAGAAGAAGAAGGUAGAAUGCAAAUUAGGAGAGGAAUAAAAAGCAGUAGUAAAUAGUUAGAGCAAGUGGUAGAAGAAGGCAUGAUAUGAUGUUAAUAAAAAUAAAUUAAUAAAGUUGUGAAUAAAAGGAAAGGUGAAGAAUGGGAUAUAUAGUAGAAAAUGAGGGUGUGAAUAAUAAAAACGAAAGCUGUCAAAAGGUGAAAAGAGAGAGAGAGAGAGAAGCAACAAAGAUUGUCGUAUAUGAAUAGAAAAGAAAGAAUUGGAGGAGAAGGCGGUUAUAUAUUGGAUUUAGGUAUAAAGUGGAUAAGAUCACAGGUGAGGUGAGCGUUGCCAGACAGCAAGACACAUUUGAAUUUCAAUUACCAAGAGGCACCUGCCUACCAUAUCUAUAUGCUAUGCUGCUGCCUGCUGGAUAUACUUUCACUUCUUACCAAACUGCAAUUAUAUCAAUUUUAACUUUCUUCAUUCAUUUUAUAUUUUAAUCAUUCUUAUUACAUAUAUUAAAUCACAAAAUUCAUUUUGCGGUCAAGGAUUUGAGCUAUAUACAUAACUUUUCAAUACUUUCACAAUCACACAAACACCUAAGUACGAUAAUUUUUUUAUAAACUACUGUCAUUCGUUUGUUUACGCAAAAUUUAUGAAAUAUUUGAGUUAUAAUUUAAUUAAUAAAAAUUUAUUAUUUUAUUUAUUUUUAUAAAUCUUUAAUUUUAUGUAAACUAAUAAUAUUAAGAAAAUUUAAAUUUUUUUAUAAUAUAAUUUUAAAAAAUUAUAUUAAUAUUUUUUAAAAAAAUUUAUAUUCUAAUUACUCUACAAUUUUAUAUUUAUACUUUAUGUCUAUAAUACUUAAAUUCUUUAACUACUCUUGUAAUUCUAUUAAAUAUUUUUUUCUACUUUAUUUUUAUUUUCUACUUAUGUUUUCCUUAAAUCUAUUAAAUCUACUUUUUCUCGACUCUUAUUUAAAUUAAAAUGAGUAAUUUAUAAAAAAAAUUACAAAACUAAAAUGCAUAAUCGUAAUAAUUUAACUAAAACUAAUUAAAUUAAUUUAAUAUUUUUUUAGUUUCAAGUCUAAAUUGAACUAAAUCAAUAAAUCUGAUAUUUAUUAAUUUAAAAUAUAAUUUCAAAUAAUUUUAAAAUAGAUUAUUCAAUAUCCAAAUUCAAUAAAUAAUACUAUGUCAAUAUUAAUAUAUUUAAUAAUGUAUUGUAUUUAAAUGUAUUUUAAUAAUUAUAUAUAUUGUUUUUUCUUUAUAUUGUUGGGAUAAAAUUAAUAUCUAGUAAUAUAUUAUUUAGUAACUAUCUCCAAAAUUAUCCUGUAACCAAAUAAUUUUUGAUAAAUUUUUGUAAAAUCUAUAAUUUAUGUUAUUGCUUCAUUUUAAUGUGCAAAAACUCAUCGUUUUGAAAGAUCCUUGAAAGUCUCCAAACUUUUGGCCGAGCCUAAGUUGUAUUUUUGAGAAGGAGUAAUAUUUGCAAGUGGAUGUGACACGUUUAUUGUAGCCAAGCCAAGCCAAGCCAACAUGUGAGACAGAAAGUAGUAGUUCUGGUAAUGGUUUGGUUGCGGCUUAGGUACGCGUCUCACCCAAUAGCUUUCGUAUUGUAAUCAAAUAAUAAAUUCUUCAAAUUAUUUAUUUUAAGGAAGUGAAAUUUUAUCUAAUAUACAAGUACACCACCGCCAUCGUUCAUCAAACAGCUCAGGAUAGGAGGACUAAAUCCUACUACUAAAAUAAUACUCUUUAAAUACUAGUAAUAUAUUAACUUUAUAAUAUUUAUAUUCAUUACCUAAAUCUUUUACUUUUCUGUGGACUACAGUUUUGUUGGAUGAAUUACAGAUGUCAUUUUUACUAUAAAGAAAUCCACGCUACAAUUGUUAUGGACUUCCCUGAUUAAAUUUAAGUGGUUUUGUUCUGUUUUUAUUCUGUGAUGAAUUUUCUUGUUAUGUCAAAUAAUAGACGAGAAUGUUAAUUUCUUUCAUUCAAAUUCCAUCAAUUUUCUUAGUGGGAUAAUUAAUCAUAAGAAAAUGAAUUAGACUUAACUUCUCCCGAGAGUCUUUUGCAGCCUGUUGUUUAUUUAUUUAUGUGGAUCAAAUAUGUAUUUAAUUUUUGUAAUUAUAAUUUUUUUUUUGUAAGUUUUUUGUUUUUUGUUUACAUAUAUAUGUAAAUAUACUUUCGUUUUAAAACCGUUCUUCUGUUAUAAAAAUUCUAAUAUUAUUUUGAAGCGUUCUUUUAAAAAUGGAGAUUAGAUUUUGCAGUAAAAUAAAUUGUAUGAAGAUUCAAUUAUUGAUCAUUCGCUACAAUUUUGCAAUUUCACCACAAUUUUUUUUUUCUUUCACUCAAUUAUUCCCCUUUAUUUUACCAUGGUCACUCUUCACUCUAAGCAAAUCACAUGAACGGGUUUAGCUCCUUUUAACAUCGAUUUUCUUCUCAUUGUUAGGAGGAGCUUUUUGUCACAUAAUUUAAAAAAUCGUCUUAGCGACAUAACUUUUGUCAUUUAAUCUGGGUGAUUUCUUUACACCAAGUGUGAAAUUCUUGAUUAAAUUGAAGAUGUCUUUGUGGAUUUAAAUUUGAGGUGAUUGGGUUAUUGAUAUUGUGUUGAAUGAGAAGGAAGACUUUUGUUAUACAUUUUUCACAAACACUUGUGGAACCAAAAACAUACUAACGGUGUUAGUGUUUUUAUAAUAGAAAUUUGAUAGUAUUUUUGAAAUAUAAAUUUGACGGAGAAUUAUUUUAAAAUAAAACUAUAUUUAUAAAUAUGUAAACCAAAUAAAAAAACUUACGAAUACUAAAAUAAAAAAAAAUGUUAUAAUUACAAAAACAAAAAACAUAUUUAAAUCUUUAUUUAUUUUAGUUACAAGAUUAAAUAAAUAUAUGGUUAAUUUGUGAAAUUAAGUAUUAUUUUUUAAAUUUUUGGGCUAUUUAAAAAUGAGGACAUUUGAUGAGUUUUCAUGAUCUUGAUAAAUUUUGUUUUUUAAAAUCAUGAAUGAAUACAACUCUCUUCUUGAUUUGCCUGAUGCAUAUGUAUAAGUAUUGUCCUUAGAUAUCAUUUAUCUUUAUAUUUUAUAAUUUAUAGCUAUGGUCUUAGAAGAAACAUAAAUACAUUAAGAAAUAAUUAACCAUAUAAUAAUAGGAAUUGGAUCCUUUAUAAUUGACUUAUACAAUGAAUUAAAGAAUAUAUUAUCAUGAAAAUUACAAUAUAAGAAAAGAGAAUACAAUCCAAACUAAAAAAAUUAUCCCCUAAGCCAUUUUGCAUUCUUGAGGAAGUCCCUGAGGAAAUCUUUUGAUAUCAGUACAAUAAUUAUAGAUCAUGUAAUUCUUCUGCACCCAUUUGAGCCUCUCAUGACUAGAAGAAUCCAACUCCUCAGAGAACCAAGCAUUAUUAGUAUUAGAUUGUGUUGAAGAACUACAAGAUGAUUUUCCAGAAGACCAAGUGCAUGCAUUUGCAUUGAAGUUUCUGUAUGAAGCAGUGAAAGGUGCUUUGCUCCAAUCUGUUUUAACAAGUCCUCCUCUUGUGGCCCAAUCAUCAGCAUUCCAAAGACUUGAGUAGAUUCUCAUUGGUUGGUUUUUCGGGAAUGGAACACCAUUUGAUUCCAUGUUCUUGAAUUCCCUAAUUGGAGUUCCAUCCACAUAGAAACUGAAAUACACAAAGAAAUCAUUAAGUUGCCUUCUUUUCAUUUAUUUUAAAUUAGGGAAUAUGAAAAUUAUAAUGAAUUAAAGAAUCAGUAAUGAUCAUUUUAUAAACAUUCAUGUUAAACUUUGUCUCUUGAGAUUAUAAUAGUAAACUCUUACUACUAAAGUGAUACUUAGUGAGAACUCAGCCAUUUAGUUGCUUGUAACACAAGAAAUGAAAAGAAAAAAAAUCAUGUUUUUUUUUUGUUUUCUUUGAGGAUUGGAUAGAAGAAAUUUAGUUAGCAUAUACUUACACAAUCUGUUGAGGAUUCCAGAGGAUGGAAUAGGUGUGAAAAUCUGCAGUAGGGUCAAACCAAAGAUGAAAUUGUUGCUCCCUAUUACCCUUUCCUUGGCUAAACACAUUUGUGUGAAGUGUGUAUGGCUGUCCACUCAAAUUUCCCAAGAAUUCAAAGUCAAUCUCAUCCCAGGCGCCUCCUUUUGAUGAUAACUGAAUUUGAUAGAGCAUACAAAAUUCUCAUCAGUAGAAAGAAAAAAACUGUUAUAAGGUUGUAAAUGUAUGAAAGUAAAAUACGAUGUGGUAAGUAGCUUACAUAAUAGGCAGUGACAGUACCAGCAGAGUUGCCAGAAACAAGUUUAAGUUGCAUAUCGAUUUUACCAAAAAGAUAUUGAUUUUUGGAUUGAAAGCCAGAACCAGAGGCUUUGUCAAGAGAGAGAGUAAGAAGUUGGUCAUUGUUGAGUAUUUUGGCACGACCCUGUAUGAAGCAGUGAAAGGUGCUUUGCUCCAAUCUGUUUUAACAAGUCCUCCUCUUGUGGCCCAAUCAUCAGCAUUCCAAAGACUUGAGUAGAUUCUCAUUGGUUGGUUUUUCGGGAAUGGAACACCAUUUGAUUCCAUGUUCUUGAAUUCCCUAAUUGGAGUUCCAUCCACAUAGAAACUGAAAUACACAAAGAAAUCAUUAAGUUGCCUUCUUUUCAUUUAUUUUAAAUUAGGGAAUAUGAAAAUUAUAAUGAAUUAAAGAAUCAGUAAUGAUCAUUUUAUAAACAUUCAUGUUAAACUUUGUCUCUUGAGAUUAUAAUAGUAAACUCUUACUACUAAAGUGAUACUUAGUGAGAACUCAGCCAUUUAGUUGCUUGUAACACAAGAAAUGAAAAGAAAAAAAAUCAUGUUUUUUUUUUGUUUUCUUUGAGGAUUGGAUAGAAGAAAUUUAGUUAGCAUAUACUUACACAAUCUGUUGAGGAUUCCAGAGGAUGGAAUAGGUGUGAAAAUCUGCAGUAGGGUCAAACCAAAGAUGAAAUUGUUGCUCCCUAUUACCCUUUCCUUGGCUAAACACAUUUGUGUGAAGUGUGUAUGGCUGUCCACUCAAAUUUCCCAAGAAUUCAAAGUCAAUCUCAUCCCAGGCGCCUCCUUUUGAUGAUAACUGAAUUUGAUAGAGC